rnacentral:lncRNA from 1 species
CGCUAUGAAAGUUUGGAUGGAGUCUGGUCCUUGUAGAAGGUCGAAAGGAGACUGCUUAUUAUAAAAACUUGAUCGAAGAUCGAUUGUCGUGGGAGCUCGGAGUAGCGACCUGGUCGGUGGGUCCUGUCCUAUUGUAGAAGCUCGUCUGGGAUCCGUCCACUGUAGGAGCUCGACUGAAAUUUGCCUAUAAUAGAAGUUCGAAAGAAAUUUAUUUAUGGUAGAAGCUCGGGUGGAAUUUGCUUACAGAAGAGAUCCGAAGUAGACCGCUUGUAGU